rnacentral:rRNA from 1 species
AUUGAACGCUGGCGGCAGGCCUAACACAUGCAAGUCGAGCGGAUGAAGGGAGCUUGCUCCUGGAUUCAGCGGCGGACGGGUGAGUAAUGCCUAGGAAUCUGCCUGGUAGUGGGGGAUAACGUCCGGAAACGGGCGCUAAUACCGCAUACGUCCUGAGGGAGAAAGUGGGGGAUCUUCGGACCUCACGCUAUCAGAUGAGCCUAGGUCGGAUUAGCUAGUUGGUGGGGUAAAGGCCUACCAAGGCGACGAUCCGUAACUGGUCUGAGAGGAUGAUCAGUCAAACUGGAACUGAAAAAACGGUCCGACUCCUAAGGGGAGGCACAGUGGGGAAUAUUGGGCAAAGGGGGGAAGGCUGAUCCAACCCAGGCGGGGGUGGUGAGGAAGGUCUUCGGUUGUUAAGGCAUUUAAGUUGGGGGGAAGGGCAGUAAGUUUAUACCCUGCCGUUUUGACGUUACCAACAGAAUAAGCACCGGCUAACUUCGUG